UUGCGCCUGCGGCGGACCCGGCAGGAACCAAUUCAGCGCUUCGCAGGCAGCCGGUUCCUGUACGGCCCUGUACAUCCCGGGAUUUCCCGGGCUUUAAUGCCUUCU
rnacentral:sRNA from 1 species